CGGGGCAUGGCUCAGCUUGGCUUAGAGCGCUUGGUUUGGGACCAAGAAGUCGGUGGUUCGAAUCCACCUGCCCCGACCA
rnacentral:tRNA from 1 species